rnacentral:rRNA from 1 species
GAUGAACGCUGGCGGCGUGCCUAAUACAUGCAAGUAGAACGCUGAAGGAGGAGCUUGCUCUUCUGGAUGAGUUGCGAACGGGUGAGUAACGCGUGGGUAACCUGCCGGGUAGCGGGGGAUAACUAUUGGAAACGAUAGCUAAUACCGCAUGACAACAGUUAUUGCAUGAUAACUGUUUAAAAGGGGCAACUGCUCCACUACCAGAUGGACCUGCGUUGUAUUAGCUAGUUGGUGAGGUAACGGCUCACCAAGGCGACGAUACAUAGCCGACCUGAGAGGGUGAUCGGCCACACUGGGACUGAGACACGGCCCAGACUCCUACGGGAGGCAGCAGUAGGGAAUCUUCGGCAAUGGACGGAAGUCUGACCGAGCAACGCCGCGUGAGUGAAGAAGGUUUUCGGAUCGUAAAGCUCUGUUGUAAGAGAAGAACGAGUGUGAGAGUGGAAAGUUCACACUGUGACGGUAUCUUACCAGAAAGGGACGGCUAACUACGUG